rnacentral:rRNA from 1 species
AUGGACGAGGGCAGUUUUCAGCACUGGCCGGAGGAAUGGUUUCAGACAUAUCAGAUGAAUUCACCCAUUGGGCUGGGGACAAACAAUGAAGCUGGUCCGGCUGAAGGUACUGGCUUCAGUAGAAAAGCAGACAAAAUACCUAAGAGUAAAAAGCACAGGCCCAAGGUAGUCAAAGAGAAAAAAAUAGCCAAAAUACAGAAGUAUACAACUGCGAAGCAUGCCAAGGAGAAGGAGACUCACUCAACUGGCAAGAGGAAAUAUGUCCGCAAAAAGGGACUAAACGCAACAACGAACCAACCUCCAGCAGAAGAUUCUGAUAUGCAGAACAGAGUGGAAAAAUUAAAAGCCAGGAGAAGCUUGAAGUUCAAUGAGGAUGAUAUGCGAAAAAAUGCUGAUCUAGCAUCACAAGCCCAGGUUACUGAAGCGUCUUUCAAUCCAGAGGAUCCUCGGUCAUCAAUAUAUGCAGCUGAAAGAACUCAUGCGCAGGUGGCAUGUCAUUGGGGGGGAUACAUAAAUUUUCUUGAAGGAAACAAUGUACCAAAUAAUAUCCAGAGGAUGGGAAGCCAUCAACUUGAGUCUUUGGAAGUCGGACCUACUCUGCAUUACUCCAUUGACGAAGAUUGCAGUAUUGCUUUACCUGGCAAACAGCCAAGAUACUCGACUGCAGAGCACACACAGUUGCCCAGUGGUACUGAGAAUCCAUUUAUAGAAAACUAUAUCCCCAGUGGUGGUAUUCAUCAACUCCAGUACUUGGAAAAACGCAUGGUUAAGGGGCCAGAAUCAGUUCCAGAAACACAUGGCGCGUCUGCUUAUGAUGAUACUGUGAACAACUACUGCAUUGCUAUUCAUGACGAGCAGAUCACACACACAGGAGUUGAAGCUGUUGGGAAACCAGUAAGUAAAUCAUCAAGAGCUAAACGCCGUUUGUUAGAUGCUUCUGGAGAAAACAAAGAAGCAUACCCCACCAAAAAGCCAAAGAGGGGCCGUCCAAGAAAGGAAGAAAGCAAUGGGAAGCCAAAAGGCAGAGGCACAAGGAAAGAAACUGUUCGUCCUGCAAAACGUUUAUCGUCAAAAGACAAAUGCACCAUCAAUGAGCCUAUUUCUUGUGGCUCUGAACUUUCUGCAGGAGCUACUACUAAGGCGACAACGUCGGAGUCUAAAAGAAGUGUGGAGAGACCAAGCGUUUUGGAGAUCUCUGACCAUGAUAAUUAUAGAAGCAUCGGUUUCGAGCAUAUUGAUGGAGCCAUUACUGAAGUUAUAGCACUAUCAGCUGAUCCUUUAGACGCCGUAAUUGAAAAGUUCAAGCUUUUAUACACUAGCAAAUCAGAUAAAGUUAUGGCAGCUGCUUGUAAUAAAGGCACAUCUGAUGCGCUGGUUCCAUUUAUGAGAAAUGCAAAUAAAAGACGUUCUCGACCCAGGGUGGACAUCGAUCCAGUAACCUCUUUGAUGUGGAACUUACGAAUUGCACCAAAUAUGAAUGACGACGCUGGAGGCAUGGACAAGGAUAAAGAGAAGUUGCUUGAUGAGGAAAGAAGAGUGUUCCGGGGGAGAAUCAAUGCAUUUAUUGCUCGCAUGCACCUGAUUCAGGGGGAUAGACGAUUCUCUCCUUGGAAAGGAUCAGUUGUCGACUCGGUUGUGGGUGUAUAUCUUACUCAGAAUGUUGCCGACCAUCUUUCUAGUUCUGCUUUCAUGGCGGUUGCUGCGAAAUUUCCAAUCAAACCAGAAGGCCCGGAGGGAUCUACAGCAGAGAUGUCUCAUAUGCCUCCUGGACAGAAUGAUAGCUGUUCUGGACUAUUUGGUGAUUCUUUCAAGCUGAAAGGGAAGUUCUCUGUUGAAGAGAUACUUAAUACCGAGUUUCAUGAAGGAAGUAACAGUAACGAAUUGAUUGGAAGUUUUUCUGGAGAUGGAUUCAACUUUGCAGCAGGAGAAUGUUCUGUUCCAUAUAGGGAGUCCCUAAUUGACCUCCAUGAAAAUAGGCAAUCAAAAUUUGUUGUCCCAGAAAGUGGCAUUGCAAGCGUGGUAGAAGCUGAAGUACCAAUGGAGGAUGCUAUUUCUUCACAAAAUUCUUCUGUUUCUUCUCAACAUUCGCCAGAUUACCCUUUUCACAGAACUGAUCCAAUGGGGUUCAGUUUGUUGCCAUACUUCCCAGAAAAGGACCACAUGCUGAUAAAUUUAUCCAAUAGGAUGACAAGUUCAACUGGACAUGCAGAGCAUCCACCAAUACAAGAUUUCCAGAACAUGCAUAAUGAUAUGGUCGGAUCAUCAGAAUAUGGAGUUAAUCUUCUUCCAGUCCCAGACGCGAUGAAACUCCAAAUUGGCCUGGACAGCCUGGCAACAGGGGCAAGUACGACAACCAACACUGCGGAGAGAAUCAAGCUGGCGCCAGAUAGCAGAACUCUGUGCAUAGAAGUCAUCAACAGUAGAGUCACCCUGCUGAAGAGCAUGCUCCUGACGAACCACGGAAAGGUCUCACAGGGAGUUGCAGAUCCCAUAAGGAAAUCAAAAGUUAGUCGAAAAGGUUCAUCGGAAGUUCCUACAGAUGAAUCAAAAGGAAAGACGGUGUGUGGGCCUACAGAGGAAACUUAUGAUUGGGAAAAAAUACGAAAAGAAUUGUUCGGCAAUAAUGGAGAUAAACCAAGAAGUCCUAAUACAAAAGAUUCGGUUGAUUGGGAAGCAGUACGGCAAGCAGAUGUGAAAGCCAUAUCUGAAACCAUUAGAGAGCGAGGACUGAACAAUAUGCUAGCAGGCCGAAUAAAAGAAUUUCUAAACCGAUUGGUGAGAGACCAUGGAAGCAUUGAUCUUGAAUGGCUGAGAGAUCUCGAACCAGAAAAAGCAAAUAGCACGUCGCGGAAUCACCUGCUCAAUCACAAGCUUAUGGUCUUUGAUUGGGACCGGAUGGCGCUCUCCUCCCGCGACCCGGUCGGCGCCGCGCCGGCCGCGGCCUGCUCGCCUGCGCCGCCGCCUCCGCCGCCCUGCGCUGCUCCGGUCAGCUCUGCCGCACCCCCGCCUCCCGACGCCCCGCUAACGCUGGCCGCUGGGCCGCUCGCCCCGUGCUCUGCUGCCCCCGUCGGGGAGUUGCUACCGCUGCGCUUGGCGGAGGAUGAGGACUCCACCGCUGGCCGUCCCACCGUCCGGCGCACACCUCCGGCUCACCGGACUGUGCUGUGCCCGAUGCUGGUCGACGUGCCGAGACGGGGAGCCCCCUCCCCACCCCAUGCUCGCCGGCCGGUUGCGAACCCCCUCCUCCCGACGCCUGGCCAAAGGGCCGACCUUGGGUCGCGUACCGCUCGCCGCCGCCGCGCUCCGGCGUGGGGCGUCGCGGGGCGGUCCGACCUGGGUCGUGCCCGGUCCUCUUGGCGCUCAGCGGCGGCUCCCCCUGGUUCUCGGCCUGCCUCCUCCCCGGCGGCGUCAUCUCAGCCGGUGGUCACCCGCUCCUCGCCGUUUCGACCGUUCAUCGCAGCUUUUGGCACCUCCUCGCUCCGUUUUUCGCCCAGCCACUCCCGUAGUCGCCCCAUGGAGUCUGGAGCUCCUGCACCGGCGCCGGUCGCAGCGCGAGGGGAAACCCUAGUCACUGCUACCCCGUCUUGCGGGCUGGGACGCCUGGUCGUGGGCCGCCCUAGUGUUGGGCCGGGAUUUGGGCCUGGGGCUUGGGCUGGCAGCUCCGCUUCUGGGCCCAGCCUUAGCUGCGGUCCUAGUGGGCCGGCCUGCCCGGCCAUUAGGCCUAUCUGGCUGCCUACGGGCUUCCCUCGCCCCCCAUCCCAUUCCUCCCCUGCCCUAACCCUCCCUCUCCCGACCCCCGCCGCCAACCCCUCGCUCCCUCCCCCGUCGCUGCCGAACUCGCCGCCGGCCCCCGACGACGUCCGCGGCGCGACUCCUUCCGCCCGUCCCCCGACGCGAUGCGCCAUGAAUCCGAGCUCCGCCGGCUGCUACCUCUGCUCGGAUCCUGACCACCCGGCGAUCCUUUGCCCCGACCGCCCGGUGCCGGAGGAGUUGGUGAUGUACGGGCAUGGGAUUGAGGGCCUCGGCUUGUUCCACGUCGAGGUGCCUGACAUCCUCUCCCCCUCACCAUCGCUCCUGGUGAUUGUCACCGUGAAGGAUGGGGUCGCUUCGCCGGAGAUGUUAGAGGCCGAGCUCAACCAUCUCUACCACUGCUCCUGGGAUUGGCAGGUCACCAUGCUGCCUGGAGGCCAGUUCUCGGUCGUGUUCCCCAACGCUGUCAGCCACGGCUACGGCACCCGCAGCGGAGACAUCACUCUAGCUCUCAACAGCCUAGUGGUGGACAUCUCUGUGCCGGUGCGGGACCCCCUGGCGGUGGCUGUUUUGGACACGGCUUGGAUCCUCAUCGGUAGCCUGCCCGACAUCGCUCGAUCGGAGCGGGUUAUUCGGAGCAUGUCCCGCAUCCUCGGCAAGGUGGUGGUGGUGGACGAGUUGUCCCUCCGCAAGGAGGAGGAGGUCCGCGUCAAGGUCAAAUGCCUCGACUCAUCCAAGCUUCGCGCCACGAUCCGGGUGUUCUUCAACGAUCAGGGUUUUGACCUCCGCAUCUCCCUCGAGCCGCCCAACCACGUUGGCCGCCCCUGCAUCCCCGGCGACAGCUUCUUGGGGGGAGGGCCAGACGGGGAUGGUGCGGGGGAUCGCCGCAGUGACCGCGACCCCCGUCACGGACGCCGCUUCGGUUCAGAGGAGGACGACGAUGACUCCGAGGACAGUCCUCCUCACGACCAGCCCCCCGCUCCGGCUGCUAGGAGUGGUGGUGGGACCGGACGCACCCACUCCUCGGCCGCUCCGCCGCCCUCCGACGACGGCCUCGACGCUUCGGACGCCAGCCUUCAGGUCUUCCCCGCUUCAUCGCCCCGCUCCCCUGUCAGUCCGCUUCUUGAUGUCUUCACCACCCUCUCCGCUGGGGCCGUCCCGGACCCGCCUAGCUCGGCCGCGCCUAUGCCUCUCGUUCCUGUGGUGGAGUCCCCGGGGGCGGUCGUGGCCACCCUGGACCCGCCCCCUCGGACCCUGCAGAUGCUGAUACCGCGCUAG